GGCUGGUCCAAAGGUACUGAGUUACCUAAGUGAUUGUUCACAGUUGCAGAUCAAACUCCUUUGCCCUGUUCUUUUUCCCCUUCCCACUAUUGCACUUGACUAGUCUUAA
rnacentral:Y_RNA from 1 species